UGUGCUUCAGCACAAAUCCUAUCUAAUGUAUCCUCCAAUCCCUUCCUACCACAGUCCUUUGAGUAUGUUAUAUCAAGGACUUUGCUUCGCCAACCUCUAUAAUUCAUCUUUUUAAUAGCUUCCAUUUCCUCAAUAGAUAAGAGAGGGCCUUUUAGUGAGAGACGAUGGCAUUGCUCCUCAGUUGUUUCUGUCAGAUCACCUUCUGGUCCAAUCAUGCACUCCAUGGAAGUGACUAUCUUCUCUCUAAUAGGAUCAAUAGGGGGGUUUGUCACUUGAGCAAACAUUUGCUUGAAGUACUCAAAAGUGAGCUUUUCCCUAUUAGACAUAACAGCCAAGGGAGCAUCAUUUCCCAUCGAACCAAGAGCCUCAGUCCCAUCUUUUGCCAUGGGAAGCAACAACAUCUCCAAAGCUUCAACAGU
rnacentral:misc_RNA from 1 species